GGUCCUUAACCUCUUCCACCAACCCCUUGCCGGCACUCGGCCGCUUCCUUUCCCUUGCUCCUAUCCUCCUCCCGGCCCUAUAAAUGGCCGCCCAUCAUCUAUUCUCCCCUUCCCCUUCCCCCAACACCCCAUCCCUCUCCCAUCUUGAAUCUUCAAUCCCUAGGCUAGGCAGGCAUUUGCAUGUCCACCCCUCUUCCUUCUGUUUCUCUUUUCCCUUUUCCGAUCUCACCGGGGGGUAAUUGCAUGCAUGUGUAUUGGAUUGGAUCUGCAUGACAUGGCCCUCUUUGCGAUCUUCCACAGCUUUCUUGAACUGCCGCGUUAAUUCGAAGCAGCAGCUCUCUAAGAACAGAUCGCUUGGCUUCGAUUGGAGAUCUAUCGAGCAGUUCAAUAAAGCUGUGGGAAAUUGCAGAGAGAGACCAACUGAUGAUCAGUUCUACAACGGAGAUUAAUUGUGGGCGGCGCAAGCAUGGAUGGCCGGGCAGCUUAAUGAUGGAUCUCCAAUGCAUCUCUGCACGGUACAUAUAGCGCCACGAGAGGAUUAUUCGAUCUGCAUCAGAAAACAAGGCUUCAGAUUCCAGGCUCCGGAGAGGAUUUUUACUGGAUUCCUUAAUGGUGGAGUAGUGCAGCCAUCCAUCCCUUCUACUCCCUCUCCCAUCGAUGGUGACAUGAGCGAGAAGGUGACUAGGUGAGUGAGAUCUGAGGCCUGGAGCAAGACUGCAAAGAGCCAAGAGCGGGGUAAAUCGUCUGGCCUCUGACUGACAACCUAACUGUCACUGCAUGAGCUGCUGGCAUUACAUGUGGGCCUCGUGUAGGUGAGGGCCCCGCGUAUCAGUGGCCCUGCUGCUUUGUUGGUUUGUGCCGACCUUAUACUUGUGGCACAGAGCUUUCUGAAUUUUGAGUGGGUGGCUAGUUGAGUUUGGAAAGAGAGAUGCAGUGAGCCGGGGGAAGGUAAAGCUGCCUUCCCCUUCUGUCACUGCCUGUGGGGUAAAGGCGUAAAGCGAAAGUUAACUCACAGCACAUGGAACAUCUCUUCCCCUGCGGCCCUGCCUCAGGUUCUCACCGCAAUGGUUUCAGAUCGGGAAGGCCAUCAAACACUCAAGCUCCACGAACUAGUUCAUUUACAUCAACUACCAGAUAAAGCCGGUUCGUCAGUAUUUUGUCGUGUGACCUUCAAUAGCAUGCCACGUAUGUCUCUCCACAUGACCCCGCUAUGACUGAUGCAUAAAGGAGAAAUUAUUUAUUAACAUAGCACAAAAAAUCUAGCUAUGUUUUAACAGGUACAAAUAAAU